GACGAACGCUGGCGGCGUGCUUAACACAUGCAAGUCGAACGAAGAGCGAUGGAAGCUUGCUUCUAUCAAUCUUAGUGGCGAACGGGUGAGUAACGCGUAAUCAACCUGCCCUUCAGAGGGGGACAACAGUUGGAAACGACUGCUAAUACCGCAUACGAUCUAAUCUCGGCAUCGAGGAUAGAUGAAAGGUGGCCUCUACAUGUAAGCUAUCACUGAAGGAGGGGAUUGCGUCUGAUUAGCUAGUUGGAGGGGUAACGUACCACCAAGGCGAUGAUCAGUAGCCGGUCUGAGAGGAUGAACGGCCACAUUGGGACUGAGACACGGCCCAGACUCCUACGGGAGGCAGCAGUGGGGAAUCUUCCGCAAUGGACGAAAGUCUGACGGAGCAACGCCGCGUGAGCGAUGACGGCCUUCGGGUUGUAAAGCUCUGUUAAUCGGGACGAAAGGCCUUCUUGCGAAUAGUGAGAAGGAUUGACGGUACCGGAAUAGAAAGCCACGGCUAACUACGU
rnacentral:rRNA from 1 species